rnacentral:rRNA from 1 species
AGCGAACGCUGGCGGCAGGCCUAACACAUGCAAGUCGAACGGACCUUUCGGGGUUAGUGGCGGACGGGUGAGUAACACGUGGGAACGUGCCUUUAGGCUCGGAAUAGCUCCUGGAAACGGGUGGUAAUGCCGAAUGUGCCCUUAGGGGGAAAGAUUUAUCGCCUUUAGAGCGGCCCGCGUCUGAUUCGCUAGGUGGUGAGGUAAUGGCUCACGAAGGCUACUAUCAGUAGCUGGUCUCAGAGGAUGACCGACCACAUUGGGACUGAGACACGGCCCGAACUCCUACGGGAGGCAGCAGUGGGGAAUCUUGCGCAAUGGGCGAAAGCAUGACGCAGCCAUGCCGCGUGGAUGAUGAAGGUCUUAGGAUUGUAAAAUCCUUUCACCGGUGAAGAUAAUGACUGUAGCCGGAGAAGAAGCCCCGGCUAACUUCGUGCCAGCAGCCGCAGUAA